rnacentral:piRNA from 1 species
AUGUACAAACACACCUGGGUAGCA